AGUGAACGCUGGCGGUAGGCCUAACACAUGCAAGUCGAACGGCAGCACAGUAAGAGCUUGCUCUUAUGGGUGGCGAGUGGCGGACGGGUGAGGAAUACAUCGGGAUCUACUUUUUCGUGGGGGAUAACGUAGGGAAACUUACGCUAAUACCGCAUACGACCUACGGGUGAAAGCAGGGGACCUUCGGGCCUUGCGCGAUUGAAUGAGCCGAUGUCGGAUUAGCUAGUUGGCGGGGUAAAGGACCACCAAGGCGACGAUCCGUAGCUGGUCUGAGAGGAUGAACGGCCACAUUGGGACUGAGAUACGGCCCAG
rnacentral:rRNA from 1 species